GGUCCCAUCGUCUAACGGUUAGGACAUCAGGUUCUCAUCCUGGAAAUCGGGGUUCGAUUCCCCGUGGGAUCACCA
rnacentral:tRNA from 1 species